rnacentral:rRNA from 1 species
GACAGAGGGUGCAAACGUUGUUCGGAAUUACUGGGCGUAAAGCGUGUGUAGGCGGCUUCGUAAGUCGGAUGUGAAAGCCCCGGGGCUCAACCCGGGAAGUGCACUCGAUACUGCGAAGCUUGAGUACUGGAGAGGUUGGUGGAAUUCUCGGUGUAGAGGUGAAAUUCGUAGAUAUCGAGAGGAACACCGGUGGCGAAGGCGGCCAACUGGACAGAUACUGACGCUGAGACACGAAAGCGUGGGGAGCAAACAGG